rnacentral:SRP_RNA from 1 species
GCUGGGCGUGGUGGCACACGCCUGUAGUCCCAGCUAUUCAGGAGGCUGAGGCAGGAGAAUUGCUUGAACCCAGGAGGCAGAGGUUGCAGUGAGCCAUGAUCAUGCCACUGCACUCCAGCCUGGGCGACAGAGCAAGACCCUGUCUCAA